CUAGGAGUCAGCUUCAUCUGAACAACGUUAGACGCUGAAAUCCGUGUUGGUCUUUGGAAGCACAUGGGAACAUUGCUCUCCAAAUCAUCUCUGGAGGUUUCUGACAAAGGAAGGAAGAUUCCUGAUCUUUUUACUUUGCCUUCAAAUGUAAUUUUUACUUCAACUUUUCUUCUUGAAUUAAGUUAGGGGCUGAUAACUCAAAGAAUGGAUUGUGUCAGACUAAUCAAGGAGAUCUAACCACUCAUGCCUGUGGCCUAAAACUUCCAGUUAACAAGCAAAGCUCCUCUGGUUGUUAAAUGUAAAAUAAUGAAACUCAGAUAUUUGGCCAGAUAGAGGUUUUCUCUUUGGCAAGCUUCACUAUAAGAAUCAGUUUCAUUUCCCCUAACCAGAUUUUAAGGCUCUGGAGUGUGAGGACCACAACUAAACAUUCCUUCUGAUCCUCCUGAGCUCAUGCUCAGCACUAAGUAAGUCCUAAGUAAUGCCAGAGAGGAGGUUAAAUGGAUGAGUGGAUGGCUACUGAAGUUACUCUGACUGCCUAACAGUUUCCUUCGGGAUUUUUUAAAAAAACUUGAUCCAGCUACUACUUCUAAAGAAAUAUCAAAAGCGCACUGCACCUGGACAAGAAGGCAUGAUGCUUGAAAAAUCUGCAGAGGGCAUCAGCCAAGGAAAACUAAGAUUUCAGACUCAAGACUGUAACACCGAUUCCUACCUGAAUCUUCAACCUGCCAGCUCUGCCCUACAGAUUUCAGACUUGCUGGCUUCCACAGUUGCAUGAAACAAUUCCUUAAAAUAAAUCAAUCCCUCUCUCUCGAUUUCUCCCUUCCUCCCCACCACCCACACUGUGUGUGUGUGUGUGUGUGUCUCCUAUUGGUUCUGUUUCUCUGGAAAACCCUGACUAAUACAAUCACUAAACCUGAGAGGCACAGCAUCUCCAUCAAGAACAGAGAAUACAGAGGCUGGAUGUCCUCAAGCUUCAGAGGCUGGAUGUGUGCAGGUGUAUCUCUUAGGUCAGUGACACAGAUGUACUGACUUUUGCAUCAGUGGGUAAAAUUCUUUCAAAGGCACAUCAUUCUGAAAUGUCCCACCACUAUCACCAACACUAAACUGCUAUACUUUAUAGCGCUUAGAUAUUAAAAUCAGCUGGGGAAAAAAAUGAAUAAAAGUUUUCCAGCUAACUGGAAACUAUUUCUGCUUAAAACUGUAUCUGUGCUCUUUUUCAUACAUUUUCCAAAGAGAAUUUGCUAUGAAAAGGAUACAUUAUUAAUUUAGUUGUGAAUGUCACAGGAAAAUAAAGACAAAAUGACAUUUACAGUGACAUAGGCCAUUUAUUGCUAUACAAUCAAGCCUGUUACUACCCCAGUGGCUAUAGUGUCUAUGACAUCUCCAGGUGAUCUGUAUACUGCUAUUAUCUGCAAGGACUAGCAGCAAAUCAGAGGAUUGGAGUGAUGCACAUAUCCCCUGUUCUAAUUAUUUCUUGCUUCCUUUUGGCUUCCACAAUGGAUCCCUAAAUGGCAUACCUUACUUGACACAAAAAAUAUGGUAUCAGAAUACUGUAAGUUGGUCACAGGAUGGUAGUACAGCAUGAAGAAUAUGGCCAAUGGUUCUGUAACAUCUUCCUAUGUUGACAGAUAGGAACUGCACCAGUUGGGGUGAGGAUUUAAUGAUGUGUGUAACUGUUGAACUACUGUGUCAUAUACUUGCAACCAAUGUAAUAUUGUGUAUCGACUAUACUUCAAUACAAAAUGAAAAUUUUAAAAAUAUUUUUAAUGUGUCAGAGAGGAAUAAAUGCACACAUCCACUGUGUGUUAGAUAAUGCUUCAUAUUCAUGGUGAAAAAUUUUGAGUGCUUUGAUAGCCACUGUCUCAUUUUAUCCUCACCAUCUAUUCAUUAUAUAGGUAGGGAAAGCAUUGUUAAUCCCCACUUUUUAAACAUCAGAAAAUAUUUUCAGAAGGACUGAAUACUUUGUCCAGGGUUCUAGCUAAUAUACCAGAUCAUAAGCAGGACUAUGACAGGACUUCUGACUCCCUUGGUGUAUGGAUCUAUACUACUGUGUUCAAUGCAUUAUUUUCUUUCUAUUUUUAGCUUUAAAAGGUUUUUAAAAAUGUUUAUAUAUCAUGUGUAUAACUUUAGAAACAUCCCACUGUCAAUAUCAAAUACAAUGUGUAUUCUUUUGAUGUAUCAUGACAUCCAACAUA